rnacentral:rRNA from 1 species
ACGCACGCUGGCGGCAUGCCUCACCCCUGCAAGUCGCACGCGACCUUCGGGUCUAGUGGCGCACGGGUGCGUAACGCGUGGGAAUCUACCCUCAGGUUCGGAAUAACUCAGAGAAAUUUGAGCUAAUACCGGAUGAUGACGUAAGUCCAAAGAUUUAUCGCCUGAGGAUGAGCCCGCGUAGGAUUAGGUAGUUGGUGAGGUAAAGGCUCACCAAGCCGACGAUCCUUAGCUGGUCUGAGAGGAUGAUCAGCCACACUGGGACUGAGACACGGCCCAGACUCCUACGGGAGGCAGCAGUGGGGAAUAUUGGACAAUGGGCGAAAGCCUGAUCCAGCAAUGCCGCGUGAGUGAUGAAGGCCUUAGGGUUGUAAAGCUCUUUUACCCGGGAUGAUAAUGACAGUACCGGGAGAAUAAGCUCCGGCUAACUCCGUG